rnacentral:rRNA from 1 species
AGGAGAGUUUGAUCCUGGCUCAGGAUGAACGCUAGCUACAGGCUUAACACAUGCAAGUCGAGGGGCAUCAUGGGAGGACUUCGGUCCUUUUGAUGGCGACCGGCGAAUGGGUGAGUAACACGUAUCCGACCUGCCCUGUACUGGAGGAUAGCCUCCCGAAAGGGAAAUUAAUACUCCAUGUGUCAAAUGUCCGCAUGGUCGUUUGAUGAAAGAUUUAUCGGUACAGGAUGGGGAUGCGUUCCAUUAGCCAGCCGGCGGGGUAACGGCCCACCGGGGCGACGAUGGAUAGGGGUUCUGAGAGGAAGGUCCCCCACACUGGAACUGAGACACGGUCCAGACUCCUACGGGAGGCAGCAGUGAGGAAUAUUGGUCAAUGGCCGCAAGGCUGAACCAGCCAAGUAGCGUGCGGGACGACGGCCCUAUGGGUUGUAAACCGCUUUUAUACGGGGGUAAAACGCGCCACGUGUGGUGUCUUGCAAGUACCGUAAGAAAAGGACCGGCUAAUUCCGUGCCAGCAGCCGCGGUAAUACGGAAGGUCCGAGCGUUAUCCGGAUUUAUUGGGUUUAAAGGGAGCGUAGGCGGGAUGCCAAGUCAGUUGUGAAAGUCCGCGGCUCAACCGUGGAAUUGCAGUUGAAACUGGUAUUCUUGAGUGUACAUAACGAAGGUGGAAUUUGUGGUGUAGCGGUGAAAUGCUUAGAUAUCACGAAGAACUCCGAUUGCGAAGGCAGCCUUCGGGGGUACUACUGACGCUGAGGCUCGAAAGUGCGGGAAUCAAACAGGAUUAGAUACCCUGGUAGUCCCCU